rnacentral:lncRNA from 1 species
UGUUCUAGGCAGUUUGUUUUUCCAUAUUGAAACAAAGAAACUUGCUGAGAUUUUUAUUGUAAUUACUUUGUCUGCAUAUUGAUUUGGAAUUAACUUUGGAAUAAUAUUGGAUAUUACAAGCCAUGGAAAAUGUUACAAUGUCAUUGCUACAUGAAGAGAAGAUCAAGAGAAUUCAGCCAGAAGACUGUAGAAACAAAGAUAUAACAGUUUUGGAUUAUUGCUUGCUCUUGAAAUGUGUUGUUUCAAAGGAACACAUUAUUUUGGACAUGCAAUCAGAUGAAACAUUAAAGGAGAGAAGCCUGAAGAACAAAGCAGCCACAGAUCAACAGGAGUAUAGUUUAUUAGAGGUUGGUUAGAGACUUUUUGCUAAUGAGCUGUACUGUCCAUAGGCAUCAUCAUGGGGUUCUCAAAUCUAAUGAUACCCAUGCCAUCAAUUCUGAGUAAAGUGGUUACAAAAGAAACUGAUAUUUAAUUUUUACUAUAAUAGAAAAUGGCAUGUAUAUGUGUCUUAAUUCAUUCAGUAGAUGCAACAUAGGGUAGUGGAAUGAUCACUUUCCUGUAUAAUUAAUUGUAAGAGCUAGAGUUCAUAUAAUCACUAAUUAUUAAA